GACGAACGCUGGCGGCGUGCCUAAUACAUGCAAGUCGAGCGGACGAAUCGAAAGCUUGCUUUUGAUUCGUUAGCGGCGGACGGGUGAGUAACACGUGGGCAACCUGCCCUGUAGACGGGGAUAACACCGAGAAAUCGGUGCUAAUACCGGAUAACACGAAAUGUCGCAUGACGUUUCGUUGAAAGACGGCGCAAGCUGUCGCUACAGGAUGGGCCCGCGGCGCAUUAGCUAGUUGGUGAGGGAACGGCUCACCAAGGCGACGAUGCGUAGCCGACCUGAGAGGGUGAUCGGCCACACUGGGACUGAGACACGGCCCAGACUCCUACGGGAGGCAGCAGUAAGGAAUCUUCCGCAAAGGACGAAAGUCUGACGGAGCAACGCCGCGUGAGCGAAGAAGGCCUUCGGGUCGUAAAGCUCUGUUGUUAGGGAAGAACAAGUAACGCAGUAACUGGCGUUACCGUGACGGUACCUAACGAGAAAGCCACGGCUAACUACGUG
rnacentral:rRNA from 1 species